rnacentral:rRNA from 1 species
UACGGAGGCAGCGAGCGUUGUUCGGAAUUACUGGGCGUAAAGAGUGUGUAGGCGGUGCUCUAAGUCUGUUGUGAAAUCUCCCGGCUUAACCGGGAGGGUGCGGCGGAAACUGGAGUGCUUGAGGGUGGGAGAGGUAAGCGGAAUUCCUGGUGUAGCGGUGAAAUGCGUAGAUAUCAGGAGGAACACCUGUGGUGUAGACAGCUUACUGGACCACUUCUGACGCUGAGACACGAAAGCGUGGGUAGCAAACAGG